AGGAUGAAACUCUCUCUUCCUCGAAAAUCUUCAUAAAAGAUAAUAACCAUUUUUCUGAACCCUUUGGAGCAAACUGAUGCAGGACUGCCGCACUCAAUGUCUGAGGGACGUCUGCACAAGGUCUUUUCACACUAUGGAGAAGUAAGCCAAGGUGAAUUCUUAGCUUGUAUAUUCUUUAGUUAGGAAGUUUGUGGAGGCAACUUCUAAUGCCCUUUCUCGUGGUUUCACAACCUUAAUUAUAACCCAAAUCUUUUGUCUGGGCCAAAAAUGCACCAAUUUCCAUGCCCUUCUAGCCCACGAAUUCUUGUUUCCUCGAGCUUUAGAGGAUUCACUUGACUUUUUGUUUCUGGCCUUUGUUAGGCCUAUAUUUGUACUUGGAGCUGGGACUUCAUACGGCUUUUUAAGACGGUUGAUAUCUGUAUCCAGGCUGGUCUUUUCCUUUUCCCUAUUCUUAUUUCCCUCUUGUCGAAUAUAGUGUUAGCAAUGUUACUCUUCGUUCUUGAUUUUACUUAUCAUCAUCGGUCACACUUUGUGAUGUGGCACAUUUAAAUUGGCUUUAUACAUUUAUGACUUGAAUAAACCACUACUUAAGAUUUGCCACAUCACCAGGUGCGACUGGUAGUGACAAAACUUGAGAUGAAGGAUAACAUUUCUCAUCAUAUAUAUCUAAUUAUAACAAAGAAGUUGCUGAAAGGAGUGGCUUCGUAAUAUGUUUAUUUUAGACUAUUUAGUUAGCUGAUACGAAAACUUUACAGUGGUUUCUGGAUUAUGUCCUAAGUUCAAGUAUAUCAAGGCAUGCUGGUAGUGCUCUUGGGGCACAAGUAGAUGACAAUGCGUCUGGAUAAUGGGUUCAGGUGGUGAUUGUUGACUAAUUGCUCAUUUUUAGUCCCACACCGGUGGAAUGUAAACAAAGAAGCAUUAUGCCAAGUUAUAAAUAAGAGGCUUAGCCUAUUAGUUUAAGUGCACCAGUUGAAAACUUAUCUAGUAACUUUUGACUUUAGUUAAAUUCCUCUGUUAGCCUUUUUGUAAAAAGGGGAAGGGGGUAUAAAGUUAAAGUUUUACUAGUGAGGUAGCUUUGUGUGUGUGUUUGAGGGUGAGGAGAAAAAUUGUGUGAUUGUAAUAAUUUUUCACAUAGUGAAAUUUCUUCUCUGAGUCUAGUGGUUUUUCUCCUGUUUUAGAGUCUCCACAUAAAUUUCUUAUGUUGUUUUUCUCUAUUUUUCUUAUUAUUCCUGCAAAGGGUAGAUCCUAGGGGGGUGAAUUUUGGAGGUUCAAAUUCCCAACAGUGAUAAAUGCAAAGUGCCUAUAUUCAUGCAAUGGAGGCUUGCUAGGUUGUGUGAUGGGUCAUUGCAAAGUCAGGCUGGAGAGUUGAAGAGUUCAUUAUCAUGUUUUGAAGUUAUUACAUAGGGCAUUGGGAGAUUUCUGUAGUUGAUCCUUAAGCAUACCUUAUCUCAUUCUUGAUGAAUUUUAUCCAUUCCUUUUUUUUCUUUUGUGCAUGCUUCUUUCAUGAUUCUUGAAUUUUAAAAGAAAAAACAUUUCAAUGAUUACAUAUAAACCUCUGUUUAACAUUUUCUUUCAGUCAAACUAGUUGUGGAUAGAAAUUCUGGACAGUCUUUAGGAUUUGCGUAUAUCUGGUUUACUAGUGAGGACACUGCCAAAUUGGCAGUGAAAGAGAUGAAUGGAAAGUUUUUUGAUGGCAGGUUUGUCUACGUAACAAUUGCGAAGC